AUGGAGCCGACCUUGAAAUACCACCCUUUAAUGUUUGAUGUUCUAACGUGGACCCGUAAUCCGGGUUGCGGACAGUGUCUGGUGGGUAGUUUGACUGGGGCGGUCUCCUCCUAAAGAGUAACGGAGGAGCACGAAGGUUGGCUAAUCCUGGUCGGACAUCAGGAGGUUAGUGCAAUGGCAUAAGCCAGCUUGACUGCGAGCGUGACGGCGCGAGCAGGUGCGAAAGCAGGUCAUAGUGAUCCGGUGGUUCUGAAUGGAAGGGCCAUCGCUCAACGGAUAAAAGGUACUCCGGGGAUAACAGGCUGAUACCGCCCAAGAGUUCAUAUCGACGGCGGUGUUUGGCACCUCGAUGUCGGCUCAUCACAUCCUGGGGCUGAAGUAGGUCCCAAGGGUAUGGCUGUUCGCCAUUUAAAGUGGUACGCGAGCUGGGUUUAGAACGUCGUGAGACAGUUCGGUCCCUAUCUGCCGUGGGCGCUGGAGAACUGAGGGGGGCUGCUCCUAGUACGAGAGGACCGGAGUGGACGCAUCACUGGUGUUCGGGUUGUCAUGCCAAUGGCACUGCCCGGUAGCUAAAUGCGGAAGAGAUAAGUGCUGAAAGCAUCUAAGCACGAAACUUGCCCCGAGAUGAGUUCUCCCUGACCCUUUAAGGGUCCUGAAGGAACGUUGAAGACGACGACGUUGAUAGGCCGGGUGUGUAAGCGCAGCGAUGCGUUGAGCUAACCGGUACUAAUGAACCGUGAGG
rnacentral:rRNA from 1 species